rnacentral:lncRNA from 1 species
AUUGGAUCAAAUUUCUUGUAUAUAAUCCCAUGUGAAGCAAACACAUGAAUUUAGCUCUAUACAUUUCAGGCCUGGUUCUCAUUUCUAUGUAUACAACUUGGAUAGUUUUAUGAUUAAUAUGCUCGAUAUAAUACCAUGAUCUGAUAUUGCGUUUGUUGGAUGUUUAAUAAAUGUUAUCCAAACUAAUUGCCUCUAGUUGGUAAUGAUGUAAUUCGAUUUUCAUAGGUUGUUUUUGAUAUCAAUAAUCAAAUUUUUUAGAUAUGUGCAACAGAUCACUGUGAAUAUAUACGUAACAGGUCAGUGUGAAGUGUAAUAAGUAUGAGUGAAGUAUAUUUGAAUUUAUAACUCAAAUCCAAUGAUUUUAAUUGCUAAUUUGAGAAUGGAAUGGUACUGUUUAUGUCAAGUGUUCAUUUUCUUCUUAUUUGUGUACAACUUUAAUAACAUGUCAGAAUGCUAUUUAGUAUUAUUCCACCAGUCCAGGAGUAAUUCCUUUUCCUUAAAAUUUUCGAUAACUUCCCGGGGGCGUAGAAGGCUUAUUAAUAUAUAGAUUUUGUUAAGUAUCAACUCAAUAGAAGUAGUCCGGUGUUAAGUAAAUUCCUUGUCAUCAUGUACAUACGGGGUUGUUCCAAAUUGUGCAACAUAGGACUAAAAAGAACUUUUUCUUUGAGCUAAUUACCUUCACGCACAAGGUUCUCUUAUUUGCCAGAAGAAAAUAAUAAGAGUUCCUUGAUGAAAAAUUCCCAUGUCAUAAUCGAUUGCUCCGCUCGUAAGGUUUGAAACCAAAUGUUCAAUCACACUACAACGUUGCAUAUAUAGGUUAGUAAGUUGAGCCCAAAUAAUGUCGGUAUUAAUUAUGACACCCACAAGCGAAACACUAAUCAGGUUACGGAAACCUUCAUAUUUCGGGGGUGGUGUAGGCAUACAGUGACUUAGAUCAGAUGAGUCAAUUCUGAACAUGAAAACAAAUAAGAUGGUAUUUUGUAGGCACUGGAUGUACGAUUAUGAAGUUUCACUUCCUUAACUCCACUGUUUGAUAUGUUUUUAAUCCAAAUAUCUAUAUCUGAAUAGAGAUGAAGAGGCAGAUCAUUAGGAUUGCAAAGAAUAAACUUCAAUAUGAGACCUCCACGAGAUAAAAGAAUACUGCUUCCGGUUAUUGAAAAUUCAUAUAGUUUAGUUUCUCUACUUCUGAAAGGAAACCUUUGAGAAAGCCGGUUGAAGAAGAGGUCAUCAAAAACUAGGUGUGAGUGCAUUUCCCAUUUACCCCUCCAUGUUUUUAAGAGAAUGCUCAUUCUUGCUACACAGUCAACCGGCAAUCACUUUUGAAUUAGGUCUAGUGAGUCACUGGGAAUGUCACUUUUGAAUUAGACCUUCUUCUAAAGUGAUUGCCGGUUGACUGUGUAGACAUUCUCUCAAAAACAUGGAGGGGUAAAUGAGAAAUGCACCAACACCUAGUUUUUGAUGACCUUUUCUUCAACCGGCUUUCUCAGAGGUUUCCUUCCAGAAGUAGAGAAACUAAACUAUAUGAAUUCUCAAGAACCGUCAGCAGUAGUCUUUUAUUUCGUAGUGGUCUAAUAUUGAAGUUUGUUCUUUGCAUUCCUCAUGAUUUGUUUCUUCAUCUCUAUUUAGAUAUAGAUAUUUGGAUGAAAAACAUAACAAACAAUGGAGUUAGGGAAGUGCAACUUCAUAAUCGUACAUUGAGUGCAUACAAAAUACCAUCUUAUUUGUUUUCCUGUUCAGAGUUGACUCAUUUGAUUCUAAGUUGUUGUAUGUUCACACAACCCCGGAAAUUUGAAGACUUCCGUAAUCUGAUUACUGUUUUGCUUGUGGGUGUCAUAAUUACAACUGACAUAACAUUUGGGGCUCAACUUACUGACCUACAUUUGCAACGUUGCAUUGGGAUUGAACAUUUGGGAUGUCAAUAUAAAUAUUAUAUCAAUCUCACUUUUCUGAGUAUCACCCAUUGUGGGGAAAUUGAUGGGCAAUGGUUUGGAUGCACCCGAAAGGUGAUUGAUUCUGUUCUCAUGUUAUAUGGAGCGGCAAAGAGCAUUGUGGAUUUGGAAGAGCUAGUUGACAAUAUGCCUAGAAUCCGUACUCUUCAUCUUGAUGGCUCUUUUCUUAAGGUAAUUAAAGUGAACCUCGUAAUCUCUCGUAAUGAGACUGGUGAGAUCUAAUUCCCGAAAUUCUGUUUUUGUUAUAGUUUUUUCUACUGGGUAUGAAAGACUUGCGGUCCUCUCUGUAAGUGAUAAUCACAUUCCACCCACUCUGGCUUAGAUUCUGCCUUGUUUUUCUUUCACUUAUUCUCCAGCUAUAUUUGUUCCUACUUUCUCUUUAUUAAUCACGUCAUAACAAUGUCCUCAUAUUAUCUGUAAUAGCAUUGUAUUGUAUUGUAUUUGAGUCCUGAUCUCUUUUUGUCGCAAGAGUUAAUGAGGUUCCCCCGAGCAUCCACAACUGCAGAGAUUAUAUGGAAGUAACUAGCCGUAUUGGUAGGUUCGUUUUGGAAGUUAAUGUUGAACCAUAUGAACUCCUUGGGAUUGUUUAUUUUGUGGUUGCAGAAUCAGAGACCCUUUUUGUUGCUCUUGAACGCGAGAUCUUUUUCUGGGUUUAUUAACUUCAAUUUCAAUGACAGCAAAGUUUUUGGUUUAUUUAUUUAUUUAUUUGUUCUGGGUUUUUCUUAAGUUUUUGGUUUAGAUGGCUUUCAUGUUUAGAGUCCCGUAAACUGUAGGCCACAUGUAGUUCUCUAUUUGACAAUCAUAUUUUUGGCGUUACAAGCAUCAGGUCCUUAAGUAACAGGAAGUUCUUAUCUAAAAGCUGAACAUUUUAUAUAUAGACACAAAAUUACACAAAUAUACGGAGAAAACACUCAUUUGAUCUAAAAUAAAUACAAAUAUUAUAAGAUAAAAAAAAUACUAUAUAUACAAUUUGAUAAUAUAGGUGUAACAUAAAUUAUUAUAUACAAUCUCGAGGUUGCGAAGUAGUUAUAACUAAUAUCACUUCUACAUUUUUCCCGAGUCAAAGAAAUACCGUAAGGGAGGUAUCUACUUUCCGCCUGUAUUUUAAAAUAUUUAAUGUAUAUUUAUAAAUUUUAAUCUUCAACUUUUUUUAGAUAAUAUAUUAAUUUAAUAUUUCAAACAAAUAAUGAGAUUUUAACAUAUUUUGCCUACCGGAUCAAACAGUACUUCAAAUAUCUCUAAUUUAUUAGAAACCUUUUUGAUAAAUUUUUACAAAACAAUUUAAAAACUUAUGUUUUUAAAUAAUAAGAUAAGAUAUAAUCAUUAAAAAAAUAUUAUAUAUUCAUUAUUUAGCAGUAAGUAUCUGAAAAUAAAUUUAGCUAAAUCAUGAGUGACAUAUUUUUUUUCUUUUUUCAACGCAAACUCUAAUAAAAAUCGUUAAAACCCUAGCCCAAAAAAAAAAACAAUUAAAUACGAUUUAAUAAAAACUCCUUAAAACCUUAGCCCAACGCAUCUAUGCUAUACUAUUAAAGCCGAAACAUUAAAAGUUUGGUCAGUCGGUACGCGGGCUUUUAUACGGGCUUUUAUAAUUAGCAGGCUUCAAACAAAAUUAGUGGGCUUCAAACAAAAUAUAAACAAAUCAAAAUAUAAAACAAAUAUACGAUCAAAACAUAAAACAAAUAUAAAACCUAUUUGACUAUACCACAACUAAAAUCAAACCUUAAAAAAUAUUAUAUUAUUACAGCCGAAGCAUUAAAAACUGUGUUGAACCUCGGUUACAAAUGUGUUGAAUGCACGAUUUAUUUACACGUUAUUUUUAAAACUUUGAUGUUUUUUCAAUAAUUUUCAAUAUGGGCCUAUCUAUAUACCGAUUAUUCUUUUUAACUAAAAUAUGUUAUUUUUUUUAUAUUUUCUAAUUAAAAAAACUCUAUUAUUUAAAAUAACAUCGAAAAACAUAGUAAUUAUCUUUUUAACUAUAACACAUUAUCAUUUUUAUAUAUUCUGACUAAAAAACAGAUACAAUUAACACGGGCUACAUAUAUCAUAAUUUUAUUCUCACAAUAAUAAUAGUUUACUAUACUAUUAAAGCCGAAACAUUAAAAAUUUGAUCGGUCGGUAGUUGGGCCAAAUUAUGGGCUUACUUAUAUAAUCAAUUAUCUUUUUAACUAAAUCUAUUAUCUUUUUUUGUAUUUUCUAACUAACAAAACUCAAUUUCCAAAAAUAAUAUUGGACAACAUAGCAACUAGUCAACUACCCUUUUUAACUAAAAAAUGUUAAUUUUUCAGAAUCCUAACUUAAAAAUCGAUUUUCCAAAAAUAACACAUGAAACAUUCAUAUAAAAAAGAUAUUAUAUAUCUAGAGAAGUGUUCUGGUACAAACUUACAAAUGUUUUUUGUUCAACACAUACAUAUAACUCGAGUUCAACAUUUUUUAAGAUAUUUUGUUGAACAUUGAUUUAAAUUGUGUUGAAGUAGUACAUAAACUAAUUUCUCAAUGUAAGAACUAAGUUAAACGUAUUAUAUAACCAAUAUUUAUCUUUCUAGACUCUACCCAAACCCCAGAGAUAUAGUUUAACCAUCUUUAUAAAUAUAUUCAACACAAUGAUAAUUAAUGUUCUACACCCAAUGGUGAACCUCGGUUACAAAUGUGUUGAAUGCACGAUUUAUUUACACGUUAUUUUUAAAAACUGUGAUGUUUUUUCAAUAAUUUUCAAUAUGGAUACUUUCGAUAACUAAAUAUUAACACGUUUGGAGAAUAAAAACAUUCAAAAAAAAAAGUUUGUAACUUAAAAAAUAUUUUAUUUGAUCAUAUUCUAUAUAUCUAUAUUAUUAUACUAUUAAAUCCGAAACAUUGAAAGUUUGGUCGGUCAGUACUUGGUCAAAAUACGGGCCUAUCUAUAUACCAAUUAUUCUUUUUAAUUAAAACUAGCUUAUAGCCCGUGCAAGGCACGGGAGCUUUUUAAUUAUUUAUAAACCUUUUAAAUACAUUUUAAAUGGUGUGAAAAAAUUUAAUUUAUAAAUAAUAAAUUAAAAUUGUAUGUAUCAUGCCAAAGUAUUAAAUUAUUAUCAAUUUUUAAAUUAUUUUAAGUAAAAUAUGUGACGCCAACUCUUAUUAGAUUAUAUUUAUAAAUGUCUUUUUAUAUUAGAAUUAUUAUGUGAUUAAAAUAUUUUUUAAAAAAUUUUUAUGGUUCGAGAUUAAAAUUGAUAAACACAGUUUGUUUUGAAUUAAGACGAUGAAUCAUAAACAUGUAAUAAGAUUGUAGAAUUUGUUUUGGAUUAAGAAAAUUUUUUUGUAUUCGUUCCUCACAUAAAUCGGGCUUAUUAAUUUUAGAAUAUAUUAGAUAAAAAUAAUUUUGUGACGACGCGAUUUAUAUGAUUCUACAAAUAAAAUUGGUAGAAAAUAUUUAUUUUCGAUUAAAAAAAAUCAUAAACAGGUGAAAUAUAGAAUUUGUUUUGGAUUCAGAAAAGGAAUUAUAAACAUGGAAUUAUAAACAUGCAAGUAGAUAUCAAUUGUCUUAUGGAACGGAAGUUAAUUUUAUUCUAAUCUAACGGUGCUUAUUUGUUCAAUAUACGAUCCGAUGGAUAAAUCUAAUUUUGUGACGGUGCGAUUUAUACGAUUCUACAAUUAAAAUUUGUAGGAAAUAUUUUUUUUGUAUUAAAAAAAACCAAAAACACAUGAAAGACGGAAUUUGUUUUGGAUUCAGAAAAGGAAUUAUAAACAUGCAAGUAGAUGUCAGUUUCCUUAUAGAACAAAAUUUAAUUUUGUUCUAAUCUAACGAUGCUUAUUUGUUCAAUAUACGAUCCAACGGAUGAUAAGCUUUUGGACCAUAAGACCAUGCGACCAAAUUAUCUCCCUUACGCUUAUUAUAUAUAAGUAUAUAAUAUGUUAUCUUUUUUUAUAUUUUCUAACUAAAAAAACUCCAUCAUUUAAAAUUAUAUGGAGAAACAUAGUAAUUACCUUUUUAACUAAAACACAUUAUCUUUUUUAUAUUUUCUAACUAAAAAACAGAUUUUCUACAAUUAACAUGAGCUACAUAUAUAAAAAUAUAAUAUUAUUAUAUAUAAUUAUUAAUAACUAACCUGUGAUAUUUUUCAACCAAAAUACAUUAACAUUAUUUUUAAAUACACUAAUGGACUCAAUUUAAAAAUAAUAUUAUAAAUCUAUAAUAUACUAUUAUACUGUUAAAUUCGAAACAUGAAAAGUUCAGUUAGUCAGUAGGUCUGUCGAAUUUGGUGAGCCAUGUGGUAUACGACCCACAACGUCUUUAUUUAUAACAUGUUGUAAUAUAUUUUUUAUUAUCAAUUAAAUUACCAAAACAUUUAAGUUAGUAUGAUGGGUCGGUAUUUAGUUUUACGCGUCUUUUUUAACUUAAUAUGUUCCAUACUAUAUUAUAAAGGGGUUUUCUCAUAAAUACCUAAGUCCAAAAUUAUUUUUGCAAAAUUACUACAUUUUUUGGAAAAAUUAUCAAAUUUUUGAAAAUAUUUGCAAAAAUACUGUAUGCAACCUGUUGCCACCACAUGCAACGAUACUUGCAACCAGAUGCAACCAUAUUUGCAACUCCUGGAGGCCAAUUAACUAAAGUUGCACCUGUUUGCAUCUAGCUUCAGACCGUAUUUUUGCAAAUAUUUUCUAAAAAGUUAGUGUUUUUAUAAUUUUCUUAAAAUAUAGUAAAAUCGCAAAAAAAUUUAGAAAAUGUAAUAUUUUUAAUAAAUUCUCUAUUAUUAAUUAUCAAUAACGAAAUAUUAAAAGAUUGAUUGGUUUAUUUAUAUCUGAUUUUAUAGAUCUCUCUAAAUUAUAACAUGAAAAACAAAUGUAUUUUAACAUUCUCUGUAAAAUAUAUAUGUUCGACCUAAUUUUUUAUUAGCCAUUUGACGAAAUUAACUAUUAAGAAUUUAUCAUUUGUUAAAUAUAAAAUUUAUUUAAUCAUAUUAUUCUAUCAUAAUUUUACUCUCAAAAUAAUAUUAGUUUAAGUUAAAAUAUAUACGAUAAAAUUACAAAUAUUAUAACCGCCCGUGCAUUGCACGGGUUAUAAGCUAGUGUAAGUUGUGAAUUAAAUAAUUAAUGUCGUCUCUAAUAAAAUUACUUAAAACUCUAGCCCAAGCCCAUGUAAGCUAUGAAUUAAAUAAUUAAAAGUGCUCUAAUAAAACUCCUUAAAACUCUAACUCAAACUCAUAUAAGCUAUGAAUUAGACAAUUAAACGCGCAUGGCCCAAGCCCAUGUAAUCCGUUCUAAUAAAACUCUUUAAAAUCCUAACCCAAACCCAUAUAAGCUAUAAGCUAUAAAUUAAAUAAUUUAAAGCGCUCUAAUAAAACUCCUUAAAACCCUAGCCCAAGCCCACAUAAGCUUUGAAUUUAAAUAUUAAACGGGGCUACUACAUUUCAAUUCAAACUUGUGAUUUACGCCAUUUUCUCAAAUGCCUGCGGCGGCUACUAUUCUGUAUUUCUGUAUAGUAAACCCUUUUUCUUGAUUAAAAAUCAACCCAUGACGAAGAAGCCUGUGUGGUAAUCUCAUUCUGUUAGUUAUACAUGCAUCAUUUUGUUUUUUACACACACAUAGAGUGAUGAUUUGCUAAAAAGAUUGAAUUUUUCAGGUGGAUGCAUUCACAGAAUCAGCGUUCAAGGGAAACCCAACUGCAGUUCAAUUGGUGGCCACUGAGUUCAAUCUAUCUGAGAGACAUGUUUCUUCACUAGGAUUGACUUGGAUUCGUCUUCACCUCAGAUGGUUCACUCCUGUUGCCGAGGUUCACUUGCUUUUGAUUCUUGUCUUAUUUUUUAGGUUUUUAUGAUUCCCCCGGUGUUGAAUUUUGGACUUGUGUAUUGGGUUUGUGUAAAGAUUUGAUCUUUUUGGUGGUAGUGGUCUUGAAUUGAAUUUGUUUAUUGGUCUUGUGUAGUGGGUUUGUGUAAAGAUUUGAUCUUUUUGGUGUAGCAGUCUUGAAUUUGAUUGGGGCAAAACAAAGUUAAUUUGGACAUUCAAGGGGAAGUAAUAACGAAGAUGUAUGAUAUGCAUGUCAAACCCCUUUGUUGCCAAGGUUCAGUUACUAUUGAGUCUUGUUCAUCGUUUUAGUUUUUCUGAUGCACACACUGGUUUCAUAUUUGAUCCAUUUGGAGCUUGUUCAUUAAUCAUCGCUAUUCUACUUUGUGACGUAGUAUUUUGUGAAUUCAGGCAUCAACUAGAGGUGGCAUCAUAAAAUUACAUUUAGAUGAGAGGAAUCAAAGGGUAAUGCUCCAAAGGAAAGUUGUUAUUGUGAUGGAAGGUUCUCUCCUAGUUUAUAUAUGGAGGUAUUCCUAGAAUCUUGAGAUCAUUAUAUUGUAUCUGUAGCAGUUUACUUAACAAGUUUUUUUACCAUUUACUGCAUAUAUUUUUUGAUGAACAUUGAACACUACUUUCUUAAAUGUGUUGUUGAUAUGCGUUUCGUGCUAAUGAUUAUUGAUAAGUAGUACUUUUAUAGUUCUCUUCGAUAGAUUGCUUGCAAUUAUCUAGUUGAUUAAUUAAUGCAGCGUAUUCAUGUACAGAGUUUGUUAAGUAUCAACUCAGUGGAGGUAGUUAGGUGUUAAAGUAAAUUCCUUGUCAUCAUGUACAUACGUGGUUGUUCAAAUUGUGCAAGAUAGGACUUAAAAGAACUUUUUCUUUGAGCUAAUUACCUGCACCCACAAUGUUCCCUUAAUUGCCAGAAGAAAAACAUAAUAAGAGUUGCUCGAUGAAAAAUUCCCAUGUUAUAACCGAUUGCUUUGCUCGUAAGGUUUGAAACCAAAUGUUCUAUCCUAGUGCAAUGUUGCAUAUAUAGGUCAGUAAGUUGAGCCCCAAAUAAUAUAUGUCAGUAUUAAUUAUGACACCCACAAGCGAAACACUAAUCAGAUUACGGAAACCUUUAUAUUCCGGGGGUGGUGUGGGCAUACCGUGACUAGACUCUGAUGACUCAACUCUGAACAUGAAAACAAAUAAGAUGGUAUUUUGUAGGCACUGGAUGUACGAUUAUGAAGUUCCAGUUCCCUAACUCCAGUGUUUGAUAUGUUUUUAACCCAAAUAUCUAUAUCUGAAUAGAGAUGUAGAGGCAGAUCAUUAGGAAUGCAAAGAAUAAACUCUAAUAUGAGACCAUUACGAGAUAAAAUAAUACUGCUGACGGUUCUUGAAAAUUCAUAUAGUUUAGUUUCUCUACUUCUGAAAGAAAACCUCUGAGAAAGCCGGUUGAAGAAAAGGUCAUCAAAAACUAGGUGUGUGCGCAUUUCCCAUUUACCCCUCCAUCUUUUGAGAGUAUGCUCAUUCUUGUUACACAGUCAACUGGUAAUCGCUUUUGAAUAAGGUCUAGUAAGUCGCUAGGCAUGUCACUGAUAAUAUCAACCGCGUCUUAACAAUCAAGCCGUCUUGUGUUAGCAAUACUAGUCAUAUUUCUGAAUAUUAGAAGAAGUAAGAACCAAACUGAAAAGAUGUACAAACAAUAAUACUAUAAUAUAAAUAUAAUUAAGUAUAUUUGUAGUGGCCAACCGGGUAGUAGCAAUUAAUCAAAUUUAUCGUAGCACAGAAUUUAAAGAACAUUAUAUCCAUAAGAGCCAUAUAUGUAAAUAAUUCAACUAAACCAUUAUCACAUUUGGAAAAAAGUGGCAAAUCAUUUUCGUAUAUAUUAGCGAAAGUUUAACAGUUAAUUAAAACCCCUAAAUCAAAGAUAGAAAAAGAUUAUGUGAGAUCAACAUACAUAAAAACAUUGAUUUAUUCAAAAAGUUGAUUCACACACACACACACAAACAUAUAUUUAAACAUUUAUAUAUUUGAUUCAUGUAUUGGUGGGAGUGAGACAUUAUGAGUGCGGUGGAAUGAGGAAAGAAAUGUGAGGAUUAGUGAUACAACCCUAAUUCUUAAUUAUGUAAUCUAUAUAACGAUGUCGUGUAAUAAGUUGACUGCAAGAUAUUUGCAUAUGCUAAAAAACCGUAUCGUGUGGAACAGAACAUUCUAAAAUGGCUAAACACAACACCGUUUAAGGAUAAUAUUUACAAAUCAAUUCUUUUUUUUUAUUUAUUUCCAUUUUAGGGGCAGUAUGCUGAUACUUGUGUACAGGGAAACAACUAUCAACAUAUGUAGACAUUCCCCUGCCUAAAUAACAACCCUCCUCCAAAAUGGAAAUAAAUAUAAAAAGAAAUGAUUUGUAGAUAUUAUCCUUAAACGAUGUCGUGUUUAGCCAUUCUAGAAUGUUCUUUUUCAUAUGAUGCCGUUUUCUAGCAUAUGCAAAUAUUUUGCAGUCAAAUUAUUACACGACGUCGUUAUAGAGAUUACAUAAUUAAGAAUUAGGGUUGUAUCGCUAAUUCUCACAUUCUUUCUCACUCCGCCGCGCUCAUGUUGUCUCACUCCCAGCAAAGGUAUCAAAUGUUUAUAUAUAUUUAUGUGUGUGUGUGUGUAUUUGAAUCAUUGUUUUUUUUGAAUAUAUCAAUGUCUUUAUGUAUGUUGAUAUCUCACAUAAUAUUUUUUUCCAUUUUUGCUUUAAGGGUUUUAAUUAAUUGUUGAACUUUCGCUAAUAUAUAUGAAAAUGGUUUUGGCACUUUUUUCCAUAUGUGAUAAUGGUUUAGUUGAAUUGUUUACAUACUCGGCUGUGAUGCAUAAAUGUUCAUUAAAUUCAGUACUAUGAUAAGUUUGAUUAAUUGUUACUACCCAGUUGGUCUUUAUAUAUUGUAGCAUUACUGUUUGUAAAAUUCUUUUCAGUUUGGUUCCUACUUCUUUUAAGUAUUCAGAGAUAUGCCCAGUGAUGCUAACACAAGGCGGCUUGAUUGUGGAGACGCAGUUGAUAUUAUCAGUGACCUGCCCAGUGACUUAUUAGACCUUAUUCUAAACCGAUUGCCGGUUGACUGUGUAGCAAGAAUGUGCAUUCUCUAAAAAUCAUGGAGGGGUAAACGGGAAAUGCACCCACACUUAUUUUUUGAUGACCUUCUCUCCAACUGGCUUUCUCGGAGGUUUCCUUCCAGAAGUAGAGAAACUAAACUAUAUAAAUUUUCAAGAACUUUUAUCAGUAUUCUUUUAUCUUGUAGUGGUCUCAUAUUGAAGUUUGUUCUUUGCAUUCCUAAUGAUUUGUUUCUUCAUCUCUAUUCAAAUAUAGAUAUUUGAAUUAAAAACGUAAGAAACAAUGGAGUUAGGGAAGUGCAACUUCAUAAUCGUACAUUGAGUGCCUACAAAAUACCAUCUUAUUUGUUUUCCGGUUCAGAGUUGACUUGUUUAAUUCUAAGUUACUGUAUGCUCACACCACCCCCUAAAAUUGGAGGCUUCCAUAAUUUGAUUAUUGUUUCACUUGUGGGUGUCAUAAUUACUAUUGCCAUAUCAUUUGGGGCUCAACUUAUGGACCUACAUUUACAACGUUCUCAGAUAUUAUUGCGGGAGAAGAUGAUCAUCACCUACCACCUUACAAUCCAAAACAUUAGAUUGCGCAUCGUUUAUCCUCUUUUUCUUCUUAACCAUCUAGUGUUUUAAGACCUAAACGCUAUUUCCUGUAGAUUUUUUCAGGUGGAUGCAUUCACAGAAUCAGCGUUCAAGGGAAACCCAGCUGCAGUUUGUUUGUUAGAAGAGGAAAAAGGUGAGAAAUGGCUACAAUUGGUGGCCACUGAGUUCAAUCUCUCUGAGACAUGUUUCUUGACUAGGAUUGACUUGGAUUCGCCUAAUCCCAGGUUUCAGCUCAGAUGAUUCACUCCUGUUGCUGAGGUUCACUUGCUCUUGAUUCUUGUCUGUGUUUUUUGGGGUUUUAUGAUUCCCCGGGUGUCAAAUUCUGGUCUUGGGUAUUGGGUUUGUGUAAAGAUUUGAUUUUUUUGGUGGUAGCGGUCUUGAAUUGAAUUUGUGUAUUGGGGUUGCUUAAAGAUUUGAUCUCUUUGGUGUUAGCAGUCUUGAAUUUAACAUGGGGCAAAAUAAAGUUGAUUUAGACAUUCAAGCGGACGUAAUAACAAAUAAGUAUGAUAUGCAUAUUAAAUCCCUUUGUUACUGAGGUUCAGUUACUAUUGAGUCUUGUCCAUCUUUUUGGUUUUUGUGAUUCCCCGGAUGUCUAAUUUUGAUCUCGUUAGUAGCUCAUUUAUCUGUGUAUUGGGUUGACGUAAAGAUUUGAUCUUUUUGGUGUUACUGGUCUUGAAUAUGAAUUCGGGCAAAAUAAAGUGUUUUAAAAAAGUUAGUUUGGAGUUUGGACACUCAAGCUGAAUAUUCCCGCAAAGAUGGCUUUUCGAGUAAAUUAAGUAUGAUAUACAUAUUAAACCGCUUUAGUAAUAAUUUAAAAUUCUAGUGGAUUUGGUAACUUAAUAGAUAUUAUGUACUUUCAAUAUGUUAUUGCUUUGCUUAUGGAAUAGGUAAAGCAUGAAUAACCACGUCUUUUCUUAAUUAUGCCAUAUCACUGCUACUUUGUCAGUUGUCAUUUUACUUGAAUGUUGAAUAAAACAUGCAUAAUUAGACUAUGUUUUAUUGGAUAGCCACAGGUGGUGGUUGCUUUAUCUUCCCAUCUGAAACGGGUCUAAGCAAUCAUAUGUGUGAUAGCUAAAACUGAUGAAGAUAGUGGCUUUCUCUAUAUUAAAUUUACCAAUUGCUGGAAAAGUCAUUCGUAGCCGGCUUUUUAUAGUUUACGAAGACUUGCUAGUUUUCAUCUCUAUGCAUGAUGUCUGCUUACAGGUUAAACUUUGUGGCCAUGCAACUUUGGCGGCAUCCCACUUCAUCUUCUCAUCUGGUUUGGUGAAAGUUAAUGUGAUCGAGUUCAUGACACUGUCUGGAGUUUUGACUGCUAGGAGGGUUUCACUGCCUGAAGUUUCUGUAUUAUCACAGUUGAAAAGUGAUGGUUUCUGUAUAGAGUUGGAUUUUCCUGUCGUGCCACUGGUUGAAUAUACUUCUGUUGAGGUGUCAAACAUUUCACAAAGUUUAAAUGGCGCCUCUAUUGUUGACAUCAAGAAAAGGACUACAGAAGAUGACCUCCUUGUAUGUGUUUGGCUUUGCUCUAACAUUUUGUUAAUAUCAUUACCAUGUGGAUACAUUCUUUCUGGAAGUUGUUUAUGAUGGGGCUAACAUAUCUAAACAGUGAAAUGUUAUAUACUAGUGCCAUUGUUUCUUGCUUUGGAAAAGUUAAUAUUUUGUAUUUGAGGAAUGUAAAAGUCAUCUAAAAAUGCAGGUUAUGCUCUCAUCUGGAAAGACUGUUGCAGAAUUACAGCCGAUGUUUGAAAAGAUACAGAAACUUCCUUGCAGAGGAAUGACAGUAACAGCGCUUGCUCCCUCUGAAUCUGGGUUUGACAUAUACAGCCGCUUCUUUUGUCUUAAAUAUGGGAUUAAGGAGGUAAACAUUAAGCUAAAUAUCAGGAUUCAUUUAUAAUUUUCGAAACAUUUGGAGUUUUCUCAUAGUCUUGCUACACUUGGUAUGUGGUAGUCUCUUCAUAACCUGUCUACCUUCCGGAUACAUUCUUGUCUUUCUUUUCCUAUGUGUAGAAUUCGGAUAUUCCAUUUGGCCUCCACCCGCCUUUCAUUAUAGUUCAUUUGCUAGAUUAUUUGUAUAAUGUUGAAUCCAAAACUAAAUUUAAAUUGUCUAUCCUUAGCCUCCUUGCUUCUUAUUGUCUGUGGAUAUACAGGCACGUGCUGUUUUAAGGGUGAAAUUUAGUUGAAUCCGGGUUUUCGAUAGAGGUGCUAGUUUUUAUGUCCUGUCUUCCCCUAUAGACUAUAGUUACAUGCACCAGGUCAAUAACUAAAGAAAGAGCUUAUCUAAAAGUUGAACAUCUGUCCUGAGUGCUGGGACUUGAUACAAUCGGUAACCUCUUUAAUGCGUGCAAUUUUAUUUCAGGAUCCUGUCACAGGCAUUGCACGUUGUGCCUUGGCACCCUUUGGUGCCAAAAGCUGGGAAAAAGUGAUCUUGUUGCAUAUCAGGUUAUUGUUCUUAGUGCUCACUGCUCACUCUCUGCCUAACUCUAUCAAAUGUGUAUGCACACACUGAUUUCAUAUUUGAUCCAUUUGGAGCUUGUUCAUUAAACUCACUAUUCAACUUUGUGAUGUAGUAUUUCGUGAAUUCAGGCAUCAACAAGAGGUGGCUUCAUAAGAUUUCAUCUAGAUGAGAGGAAUCAAAGGGUAAUGCUCCAAGGGAAAGCUGUUACUGUGAUGGAAGGUUCUCUCCUAGUUUAAAUAUGGAGGUAUUCCUAGAAUGCCUAAAAUGAACUGGGAGCUAUUCAUAAUUAAAACAUCAGAAUCUUGAGAUCAUUAUAUUGUGUCUGUAACAGUUUACUUAACAAGUUUUUAUAGCUAUUUCUUGAUGAACACUAUCUUCUUAAAUGUGUUGUUGAUAUGUGUUUCGUGCUAAUGAUUAUUGAUAAGUAGUACUUUUAUAGUUCUCUUAGAUAGAUUGCUUGCAAUUAUCUAGUUGAUUAAUUAUUGCAGUUGUGUUCACUCUUCAGAGUCACUGAAACUAAAUUGAGUUGGUAAUCUGUUUGUUGGCCUGACAAGUAACAUAAGUGAGUAUUUAUGAGUCAUUUUAUUCAACAUGUUCAAUAUAUCUAUUGCGAAGUAUUGUGCAAAGUAUGGAAAAUCGUAAAUAAUACUGGCAAAAUUGUGCCAAUAUUAUUCAGAUCACUUAACUUCACUUAUUACCGAAAGAAAGCCGUUGAUGAUUAUAUUCUUGCCAAGAUUCAUAUAUUUUUGCUGAUUGUAUACUAGUUUUUAGAAUAUGAAUUGAUAUUGAAUUGAUAUUAUAUUUAAUAAUUGGCAUUUCAUUUAAAAUGAUAGUAUAAUUUUGAUUUUGAAUUUGGAAGGUUAAUUUUGAAUAUUUAGAAAUUAUUUCAAGAAUUUAGUCCGAUAGUCCUAUGUAAUAUGUGUCAGUUCCUUUUUGUAUGUAUUAAGACUUAUGUCAAAUGUAAUUAUAAAAGAGUUUUUGUAUUAUUAUAUGUUGGUAGUUAAUUUUUGGGAUAUUUUUAAAAAUACCCAUCUGUAAAAUUAUUUUUUUAAAAAUACUACCAUCUUUUUCAUUGUUUUUAAAAAUACCUUUUCAUAAAUUUUUUUUUUCAAAAAUACGAUUUGCAACCUUUGCAACCUCAUUUGCAACCUUGGGCGGCGCAGCCGUAAAAGUUGCAAAUGAGGUUGCAAAAGUUGCAAAUAAAAAUGGAAAUGAGGUUGCAAAAGUUGCAAAUGAGGUUGCAAAAGUUGCAAAUAAAAAUGGAAAGUUGCAACAGUUGCAACUGCAAUUGCAACUAGUUCAACUGAAAACUGUAAGUUGCAAAAGUUGCAAAUGAGGUUGCAAAAGUUGCAACUGAGGUUGCAAAAGUUGCAACUGCAGUUGCAAAAGUUGCAACCUCAGUUGCAACUAAAUGCAACUGAAAACUGUAAGUAACAACAGAUGUAUGGUGUGCCCCUGGCGGGGCCGGUAGAUUACAAUAGAAUCAACUGAAUGCAACCAUAUGCAACUGAAUACAACCAUAUGCAACCAUAUAUGCAAUUACAAAUCCUGAUUUCAAGUUCCAGUUUUCGAAUGUCGUUUUCGACCUCAUUUUCGGAAUCGAUAUAUAUAUAUAUAUAUAUAUAUCUGUUCUGAUAUAAAGUCACUAUUCUCGUUAAAACUGCCUUUUGGUAGUUCUGAUAUAGUGACUCAAUAACUCAAUGAUUAAAGGCAGAAUUAAAUAGAUACUCUAGAAGCAAUGUAAAACACUUUUAUAUGAACGGUUUCAGAAAAAAGAUUAUUGAAAAUUUAGAUAUAAAACUGCUUUUACUACUCCCUUUGGUCACUAUGAAUGGAAUGUAGUUCCAUUUGGACUUAAAAAUGCCCCUAGUGAAUUCCAGAAUAUCAUGAAUAAUAUAUUUAACCCCUUUAGCCAUUUCUCAAUAGUAUAUGUAGAUGAUGUUCUUAUCUAUUCUAAUUCUAUUGAAGAACAUUGGAAACAUCUGAACUCUUUUUUCAAUACAAUUAAGACUAAUGGUCUAGUACUAUCACCAACUAAAUGUGUCUUAUUUCAGACAAAAGUAAGAUUUUUAGGUCAUACCAUUCAGUAUGGGAAAAUUAGACCAAUAGAUAGAUCAAUUGAAUUUGCUAGUAAAUUCCCAGAUGAAAUACUUGACAAAACCCAACUCCAAAGAUUUCUAGGAUCACUCAACUACAUAGGAGAAUUUUAUAAAGAUCUUAGGAAGCAAUGUAAACCAUUAUUCGAACGAUUGCAAAAUAAUCCCCCGCCUUGGACUUCUAUCCAUACUUCUAUUGUCCAAGAUAUUAAAAAAUAUGUUAAGACUCUUCCCUGUCUUGGCAUUGCUAAUCCUUCUGCAUUUAAAAUAGUAGAAACCGAUGCCUCUGAAGUUGGAUUUGGAGGUAUUCUUAAACAAAAAUUAAACCCUUCUUCACAUGAAGAAAUUGUUUGUUUUCAUUCAGGAGCUUGGGAUCAAACCCAACAAAAUUAUUCAACCAUUAAAAAAGAAAUUUUAAGCCUUGUCUUAUGCAUCAAUAAAUUCCAGCAUGAACUUUUAAAUCAAAAGUUUUUAGUCAGAAUUGAUUGCCAGUCAGCAAAAUUUAUUUUAGAAAAAGAUGUUCAAAAUAUUGCAUCAAAACAGAUUUUUGCCAGAUGGCAGGCUUUAUUAAGCAUAUUUGAUUUUGAUAUACAAUACAUUAAAGGAAGUGAAAAUUCUAUUCCAGAUUUUCUAACUAGAGAAUUUCUACAAACAGGAGUGAAAGAUGAGUGUGAGAGAUAACAAUAGCCAGGUUAUUAUAUAUAUAUAUAUAUAUAUAUCGAUUCCGAAAAUGAGGUCGAAAACGACAUUCGAAAACUGGAACUUGAAAUCAGGAAUUUGGUUGCAUAUGAAGUUGCAAAAGAGGUUGCAACACGGCUGGCGCCGCCUGGAGUUGCAGAUGAGGUUGCAAAAGUUGCAAACAGUAUUUUUGAAAAAAAGAUUUUAUGAAAAGGUAUUUUUAAAAAGAAUUCUGGAAGGUAGUAUUUUUGUAAAUAAUUAAAGAAAAGGUAGGUAGUUUUGUAGAUUUCCCUUAAUUUUUAUAGCUAACAAAUUUCAAAAAUAUAUAUUAUUUGCACAUACAUCUUCAGAACAUAUUACAUAAAUAAGCUGCUCCAGAGCUCUUCAUCCCAAACAUGACGAUGACUAGGAAAGAGAAAAAAAAAUUCCAGUUCACAUUUCGAACCUGCUGGACAAGUAAGUUUUCUUUUAAUUUUCAAACAUGGAUUAACUUCUUAUUCAUUCAUUUACUUUUGUGAUGUAAUUGGAUCAAAUUUUUUGUAUAUAAUCCCAUGUGAAGCAAACACAUGAAUUUAGCUCUAUACAUUUCAGGCCUGGUUCUCAUUUCUAUGUAUACAACUUGGAUAGUUUUAUGAUUAAUAUGCUCGAUAUGAUACCAUGAUUUGAUAUUGCGUUUGUUAAGUGUUUAAUAAAUGUUAUCCAAACUAAUUGCCUCUAGUUGGUCAUGAUGUAAUUCGAUAUUCAUAAGUUGUUUUUGAUAUCAAUAAUCAAAUUUGAGUCGAUAUGUGCAAGAGAUCGCUGUGAAUAUAUGCGUAACAGGUCACUGUGAAAUGUAAUAAGUGUGAGUGAAGUAUGUUUGAAUUUAUAACUCAAAUCCAAUGAUUUUAAUUGCUAAUUUAAGAAUGGAAUGGUACUGUUUAUGUCAAGUGUUCAUUUUCUUCGUAUAUGUGUACAACUUUAAUAACAUGUCUUAAUGCUAUGAAGUAUUAUACUAUUAUUCCACCAAGUCCAAGAGUAAUUCCUUUUCCUUAGAAUUUUCAAUAGCUUCCCGGGGGCGAAGAAGGCUUAUUAAUAUACAGAUUUUGUUAAGUAUCAGCUCAAUAGAAGUAGUCAGGUGUUAAGUAAAUUCCUUGUCAUCAUGUACAUACGGGGUUGUUCCAAAUUGUGCAACAUAGGACUAAACAGAACUUUUCCUUUGAGCUAAUUACCUUCAAGCGCAAGGUUCUCUUAUUUGCCAGAAGAAAAUAAUAAGAGUUCCUCGAUGAAAAAUUCCCAUGUCAUAAUCGAUUGCUCCACUCGUAAUGUUUGAAACCAAAUGUUCAAUCACUCUACAAUGUUGCAUAUAUAGGUUAAGCUGAGCCCAAAUGAUGUCAGUAUUAAUUAUGACACCCACAAGCGAAACACUAAUCAGAUUACAGGAAACCUUCCUAUUUCGGGGGUGGUGUAGGCAUACAGUGACUUAGAUCAGAUGAGUCAAUUUUGAACAUGAAAACAAAUAAGAUGGUAUUUUGUAGGCACUGGAUGUACGAUUAUGAAGUUUCACUUCCCUAACUCCACUGUUUGAUAUGUUUUUAAUCCAAAUAUCUAUAUCUGAAUAGAGAUGAAGUGGCAGAUCAUUAGGAUUGCAAAGAAUAAACUUCAAUAUGAGACCUCCAAGAGAUAAAAGAAUACUGCUGCCGGUUAUUGAAAAUUCAUAUAGUUUAGUUUCUCUACUUCUGAAAGGAAACCUCUGAGAAAACCGGUUGAAGAAAAGGUCAUCAAAAACUAGGUGUGAGUGUAUUUCCCAUUUACCCCUUCAUGUUUUUGAGAGAAUCCUCAUUCUUGCUACACAGUCAACCGGCAAUCACUUUUGAAUUAGGUCUAGUAAGUCACUGGGCAUGUCACUUUUGAAUUAGACCUUAUACCAAAGCGAUUGCCGGUUGACUGUGUAGCGAGAAUGUACAUUCUCUCAAAAACAUGGAGGGGUAAAUGGGAAAUGCACCCACACCUAGUUUUUGAUGACCUUUUUCUUCAACCGGCUUUCUCAGAGGUUUCCUUCCAGAAGUAGAGAAACCAAACUAUAUGAAUUUUGAAGAACCGUCAGCAGUAGUCUUUUAUCUCGUAGUGGUCUCAUAUUGAAGUUUUUUCUUUGCAUUCCUCAUGAUUUGUUUCUUCAUCUCUAUUUAGAUAUAGAUAUUUGGAUUAAAAACAUAACAAACAAUGGAGUUAAGGAAGUGCAACUUCAUAAUCGUACAUUGAGUGCCCACAAAAUACCAUCGUAUUUGUUUUCCUGUUCAGAGUUGACUCGUCUGAUUCUAAGUUGUAUGCUCACACCACCCCGGAAAUUGAAGACUUCCGUAAUCUGAUUACUGUUUUGAUUGUGGGUGUCAUAAUUACAACUGACAUAUCAUUUGGGGCUCAACUUACUGACCUACAUUUGCAAAGUUGCAUUGGGAUUGAACAUUUGAGAAUGGAAAGGCAUUUGUUUAUGUCAAGUGUUCAUUUUCUUCGUAUUUGUGUACAACUUUAAUAACAUGUCUUAAUGCUAUCAAGUAUUAUACUAUUAUUCCACCAAGUACAAGAGUAAUUCCUUUUCCUUAGAAUUUUCGAUGGCUUCCCGGGGGCGUAGAAGGCUUAUUAAUAUACAUAUUUUGUUAAGUAUCAGCUCAAUAGAAGUAGUCAGGUGUUAAGUAGAUUCCUUGUCAUCAUGUACAUACGGGGUUGUUCCAAAUUGUGCAACAUAGGACUCAAAAAAACUUUUUCUUUGAGCUAAUUACCUUCACGCGCAAGGUUCUCUUAUUUGCCAGAAGAAAAUGAUAAGAGUUCCUCGAUGAAAAAUUCCCAUGUCAUAAUCGAUUGCUCCACUCGUAAGGUUUGAAACCAAAUGUUCAAUCACACUACAAAGUUGCAUAUAUAGGUUAGUAAGUUGAGCCCAAAUGAUGUCAGUAUUAAUUAUGACACCCAUAUGCGAAACACUAAUCAGAUUAUAGGAAACCUUCAUAUUUCGGGGGUGGUGUAGGCAUACAGUGACUUAGAUCAGAUGAGUCAAUUUUGAACAUGAAAACAAAUAAGAUGGUAUUUUGUAGGCACUGGAUGUACGAUUAUGAAGUUUCACUUCCCUAACUCCACUGUUUGAUAUGUUUUUAAUCCAAAUAUCUAUAUCUGAAUAGAGAUGAAGUGGCAGAUCAUUAGGAUUGCAAAGAAUAAACUUCAAUAUGAGAC